UACAGGUUAGGGUUAGGGUACAGGUUAGUGUUAGGGUACAAGUUAGGAUUAAGGUAUGGGUUAGGGUACGGUUUAGGGCACAGGUACGGUUUAGGGUACAGGUUAGUGUAUGACAACAGGUUAGGGUUAGGGUAUGUGUUAGGGUACCAGUUAGUUUUAGGGUACAGUUUAGGG